rnacentral:rRNA from 1 species
GAUGAACGCUGGCGGCGUGCUUAACACAUGCAAGUCGAACGGAAAGGCCCCUGCUUGCAGGGGUACUCGAGUGGCGAACGGGUGAGUAACACGUGGGUGAUCUGCCCUGCACUUCGGGAUAAGCCUGGGAAACUGGGUCUAAUACCGGAUAGGACGAUGGUUUGGAUGCCAUUGUGGAAAGUUUUUCGGUGUGGGAUGAGCUCGCGGCCUAUCAGCUUGUUGGUGGGGUGAUGGCCUACCAAGGCGUCGCCGGGUAGCCGGCCUGAGGGGGUGUACGGCCACAUUGGGACGGAGAUACGGCCCAGACUCCUACGGGAGGCAGCAGUGGGGAAUAUUGCACAAUGGGCGCAAGCCUGAUGCAGCGACGCCGCGUGGGGGAUGACGGCCUUCGGGUUGUAAACUCCUUGCGCUAGGGACGAAGCGCAAGUGACGGUACCUGGAGAAGAAGCACCGGCUAACUACGUG